rnacentral:lncRNA from 1 species
CUGAAUCUAGUGGGCUUAAGUUAUUAUAAAUCAAAUUCAUCUUUUUUUCUUUUUUUGACAGUACUAGGGAUUGAACCCAGGCUCUUCACACUGAGCUACAUCUUCAGCUCUUUUUUUAUUUUUCUAUUUUGAGAAAGUGUUUUGCCAUGUGGCUAAGUUGCCCAAGCUAGGCUUGCACUCACAACCCUUCUAUCUCAGGCUCCCAGAGUGUCUUUUUAUCUCUUUAAUGAAGUGACUGGGAAAUGUAAAAUUACCAUAUAUAAAAAUGGUAAUAGUACCAGGCUAGAUGAUCCCAAUUCUGUCACAUUUUUCUAGACAGAAAGAAAAAGUACUUUCCAACCCUUGGCAAUUAGGCUGAAAUUAUACAACUAGGCUCCAACCAAAGGAAAUGUGAAAAAUUGGGUAGCAAAGUCUAAGUACAGCCAUAAAACAGGCUGCUCAGUAUCAUCUGUCUGAUUGCAGGGAAUCUAGAGGAGGCCUUCAUGGAGCCCUUGGCAAUGGAGCAACUACAACAUGUAAGGACAGUCAGGUGUGGGGGCACAGACCUGUAAUCCCAGCACUCAGGAAGCUGAGGCAGGAGGAUCACUGUGAGUUUGAGGCCAGUCUGGGCUGCACAGUGACUUCAAGGCCAGCCUGAACUACAAAAAGAGAGAUCUUGUUGAAAGGAGAGAGAGACAGAGAGAGAAACAAGAUGGAAGGAAACCAGGUUUUUGGAUCAUCAUGUAGAAGACCACCCAAUGUACAGCCCGUGGGAUCAUGUCCCAAGUGAGAAACAGACAUUUACAGUGCUGUAAUUUGCUUACAGCAGUUAGCCGACCUUGCCUAUUAUCACACUAUGAAGAACACCACAACAGGAAGGAUGACUGACUACCUAUUAAGAGUUGUUGGGAUGAGCUUCGGAGAUAGUGAAGAGAAUAAAAGGCAUGUGAGGAAAGUAGGUGCAAAUCCAGAAAAGUCUAGAAGGAUGGAAGAGCAUGAUAUGCCUGGAGCGCAGCAAGACCCAGGGAAAGAAGCAGAGGGAGGAAAAAGCCACAAAGAGACACAAAUGGCUGUCUCAGCGAGAAGCACACAGAACUGACGAAGAACGAUGAGAAAAUGAAGGCAGCUGGGCUCCUCCAUUCAGGACGGCAGUGAGUGAGGAGCAGCAUGCUUUGCUAGGAAUACCCAACUCCGGAGGUGGCAAACCUAUGGCACACAUGCUGCAGUGGGCUGUUUGUAUCACUGAAAGCUCUAGCAGGUUUACCGUCACUACCUAGUUGGUCAAUUCCAAGCACCUGCUUCCUGCUACUCAAGACACUGCUCUCCCCAUCAAAAAACUGUCCCAACUCACCAAACCAGAUUAAAAGCUAGUUAUCAGUGCCAUCUGAGAAUGUGUAAAAUAUAGUAGUGGGACAGAUAAUCUCCAAGAACACAGUGAACAAUUUACAAAAUCAUAGUUUUAUUUAUGACUACUGCAAAU